rnacentral:tRNA from 1 species
GGGCCCGUAGCUCAGCGGUAGAGCAACGGACUUUUAAUCCGAUGGUCGCGGGUUCGAUCCCCGCCGGGCCCCCCA